UAAGGAAUAUUGGGCAAUGGGCGGAAGCCUGACCCAGCCAUCCCGCGUGCAGGAUGAAUGCCCUAUGGGUUGUAAACUGCUUUUGUUUGAGAAGAAUGGAAUGCAUUUAUGUGUUUUUGACGGUAUCUUACGAAUAAGCACCGGCUAACUCCGUGCCAGCAGCCGCGGUAAUACGGAGGGUGCAAGCGUUAUCCGGAAUCACUGGGUUUAAAGGGUGCGUAGGCGGCACGAUAAGUCAGAGGUGAAAGCUUACAGCUCAACUGUAAAAUUGCCUUUGAUACUGUUGUGCUUGAAUCAGGUUGAGGUAUGCAGAAUGUGGCAUGUAGCGGUGAAAUGCAUAGAUAUGCCAUAGAAUACCAAUUGCGAAGGCAGCAUGCUGGACCUGUAUUGACGCUGAGGC
rnacentral:rRNA from 1 species